GUGUCAGCAGCCGCGGUAAUACAGAGACUGCAAGCGUUAUUCGGAUUCACUGGGCGUAAAGGGUGCGCAGGCGGCCGUGUGUGUAAGGUGUGAAAUCCCGGGGCUCAACCCCGGAACUGCGCCUUAAACUACAUGGCUAGAGUACUGGAGAGGGUAGCGGAAUUCACGGUGUAGCAGUGAAAUGCGUAGAUAUCGUGAGGAACACCAGAGGCGAAGGCGGCUACCUGGACAGUUACUGACGCUCAGGCACGAAAGCGUGGGGAGCAAAAGGGAUUAGAUACCCCUGUAGUCC
rnacentral:rRNA from 1 species